GGUGGCUCAGUGGUAGAAGCUCUUGCCUUGAAUGCAUGAGGCCCUGGGUUCAAUUCCUCAGCACCA
rnacentral:tRNA from 1 species